UGGGAACGUACCUUUUGGUUCGGAACAACCCAGGGAAACUUGGGCUAAUACCGGAUAAGUCCGUAAGGAGAAAGAUUUAUCGCCAAAAGAUCGGCCCGCGUCUGAUUAGCUAGUUGGUGAGGUAACGGCUCACCAAGGCGACGAUCAGUAGCUGGUCUGAGAGGAUGAUCGGCCACAUUGGAACUGAGACACGGUCCAGACUCCUACGGGAGGCAG
rnacentral:rRNA from 1 species